CGGCGAGAGAUGAGGAAGCGCGGGAGCCUGAGUACCUCCGCCCUGGAGGAGAGGACCAGGCGACGGCCCAGGACGACAUUCUCACACUUCUGUGUCUGCUGAAAUCCCAAAGAGUUAAAUGUCACCUGUUCUGGGAAGGCUUCUCUGAUCACUGGCACCAACCUCAGGUUUCUUCUCCUCUAUUAACCUUCCUGUGAAGAAGAAACAACCCCAACCAGGCAGCUCUAACUGAAUUGAAGUUUCAUCACCAACUCAAAUGAAAUCUUGAAGGUCGCUUCCCAUCUUGCUCCCCCAAGUGUGUUGGGACGAGAAGGAGACUUUGUCAACAACUGGCUUGAUUCCCUCCUCUGGGAAGCCUCUGUGGGUUCAUUUUCUCUCCAGAACAGGUUCUAGCUUCCCGUUUACCCAGCUAAUGAGCCUCCCUUUUUUUCCUCUGGAAAUUCCUGGCCACUAACUCUUCCAUUCAGGAACUCACAUUGGAAUGAGCCAUCCGGUGGCCAA